UACGUAGGGUGCAAGCGUUAAUCGGAAUUACUGGGCGUAAAGCGUGCGCAGGCGGUUGUGCAGACCGAUGUGAAAUCCCCGGGCUUAACCUGGGAAUGGCAUUGGUGACUGCACGGCUAGAGUGUGUCAGAGGGGGGUAGAAUUCCACGUGUAGCAGUGAAAUGCGUAGAGAUGUGGAGGAACACCGAUGGCGAAGGCAGCCCCCUGGGUC
rnacentral:rRNA from 1 species